UUAUUAUUAUUAUUAUUAUUAUUAUUAUUAUUAGUGUUAGUGUUGUUAGGUCUACAAUUAAGUACCAGUGAUAUACUGGGGUUGAUAUUGUCGCUCAGGCUGCAUUGACUCCAUUAUCAUUUUAUCAAUAUCGUUCCUUGUUCUUCUUAUUACUGAUGCUGCAGUUGUUGUUGUUGUUAUCAUUACAAAGGCAGCGAGAUGAAGAAUCGUUAAUAUGUUGGACAUCAUACUUAACGGCAUUUUUUCUGGAUUUUUACGUUCCGAGUUCAAAUUCCACCACGGUCAACUAUACCCUUUUUUCUUCGCAGUUGAUAAGACAAAGAACCAGUCGAGUACUGGGGUCAGUGUAAAUGACUCAUCCUCUGCUUCUAAAACUGGUGGCCUUGUGCCAACAUUUGAGAGAAUUAUUGUUGUUUUCGUUGUUACAAGCAAAACGCGGCUUUCUGAUCGAGGUUUCUUUGGGUUUAUUCAACAUAUAUGCAUGUAUGUAUAGGUGUAUGCGUGCAUGCGUGUACGAUGUGUGUAUGUAUGUAUGCAUGUAUUCUCCUUGUCUAUAUAUAGGACUACAUACACUAACAUGUCUUUUGCUAACUUUUAAACAAAUAUUGAAACGUGAAAUUACAAGAUAUGAAAGAGAAACGAAAAAUGGGUGAAAUCAUUUUUAAACGUAAGGAAAAUUAAAAGUUAGUGAAAUAUUACAGUUCUCUGAUUUCGUCUUCUUGCAUAUAUCAACGAUUUGUCCGUUUGUUUAAAGUUAAAAUUGCUAUAAAAUAACAGCAAAAAUCAGCGGAAAUUGGACGAGUGACAAAGAAGCAAAAUACUGUUAAAGACACGGACAAGAAAAUGGAGUGGGGAUUACAAUGAGGAGGAGGUAUGGAGUGAGUUUUGAGCAAGAUGGCGUUGAAGAUUUUUAAUACAAACACUUUUAACAAAUUAUAUUAAAAUUAGAAUUUUUAAGAUUUUACUAUUAUUUUAAAUUUAACCAAAAGUUUUGGUGACAAAUUUCUAUAUACUUACUCUUUACAAUCAUCAAGUUUUCAACAGUUUUGUCUUUCAUCCGCAUCAAUAAGUGCUGCUAAAUAUUCCAUUUCGUUUUGUUGAGGAACAAUUGUAUUUGUUUAAUCGAAUUACUUUGAUGUAGUAUUUUCUUGUAUUUUGUGUUGGUAUUUCGACUGCUGUAUCAUGUAUGUGUAAUGUGAGCUAAAGAUCGGAUAGCCAGACUCGGUAAAGUGCCAGGCAAAAUGCGUUGCCAUAUCUAGUCAUGGCAUUUUAUAUUCUGAGAUCAAAUCCCACAGUGAUCAACUUCAUUUUUAUCCAUUCGGGGUCGAUAAAAUAAAGUACCGAUCAAGUACUGGAGUUGAUGAUAUCGUGUAAUCCACUUCCCUCAAAAUUUCUGUCCUCCUGCCAAAACUUGAAAAUGCAAGGCAGCGAGCUGGCAGAAGCGUUAGCACAUCGGCCAAAGAACUUAACGGUAUUUGUUAUCGAUCUUUUCAAUCCGAGUUCGGUUCCUCGCGAGGUCGGCUUCGCAUUUUAUCUUUUCAGAGUGGUCGAGAAACAAAAUGUAGUAGCCAAGUACCAGGGCAAUGUAAUCGACUACCUCCCAGUCCAAAUUUCAGACCUUGUGCCUAAAUUAGAAAAACAAUAGUAUUAUCAUUAUUAUUAUAAUUAUUAUUACCACUACUACUACUAGUACUACUACUGUAACUACUACUACUACUAUUGCUUCAAUUAUUACUAUUAUUAUUAGCAUUAUUUUAUAAUCACUGUCAUCAUUGUCAUUAAUAUUUCAAUAUUAAAUCCUACCCACCUUCCUAAUCUAGUUACAAAGCCGUCUCACUGAGUUGCGAAAAGAUGGAACAUACCCAGAUUGAUCAGCCAUACUGUUAGCAGCUAUUCUGGGUACCCAGGCCAUAUUAUGUCAAUAGUAAGACUGCGAGAGAUACGAAUCUCUAGUAGAAAGUUGUAUUAUAUAUAUAUAUAUGUAUGUA
rnacentral:lncRNA from 1 species